rnacentral:rRNA from 1 species
CUACGGGAUGCUCCAGUGAGGAAUAUUGCACAAUGGGGGGAACCCUGAUGCAGCAACGCCGCGUGGAGGAUGACGCAUUUCGGUGUGUAAACUCCUUUUAUAUGUCAAGAAAAUGACGGUAGCAUAUGAAUAGGCACCGGCUAACUCCGUGCCAGCAGCCGCGGUAAUACGGAGGGUGCAAGCGUUACUCGGAAUCACUGGGCGUAAAGGACGCGUAGGCGGGUUGGAAAGUCAGGUGUGAAAUCCUACAGCUUAACUGUAGAACUGCACUUGAAACUUCUAAUCUAGAGUAUGGGAGGGGGAGAUGGAAUUAGUGGUGUAGGGGUAAAAUCCGUAGAUAUCACUAGGAAUACCUAAAGCGAAGGCGAUCUCCUGGAACAUUACUGACGCUAAGGCGUGAAAGCGUGGGGGGCAAACAGGAUUAGAUACCCCUGUAGUC